rnacentral:rRNA from 1 species
GAUUUCUGGUACGGCGCACUUGGCCCGCUUCGGUUACGGAGUUGAGUGCCGGUGUGCGCCUGCCAUCCUUCUGGGGUACGACUCUCCCUUCACUGGGUUGGGCCGAAUACCAGAUCAUUUACUUUGAAAAAAUUAGAGUGUUUAAAGCAGGCUUACGCUAUGAAUACAUUAGCAUGGAAUAAUAAUUUAGGACUUUGGUCUUAUUUUGUUGGUUUCUAGGACUAAAGUAAUGAUUGAUAGGGACAGUUGGGGGUGCUAGUAUUGGCCGGCCAGAGGUGAAAUUCUUGGAUUCGGUCAAGACUAACUUAUGCGAAAGCAUU